rnacentral:lncRNA from 1 species
ACUGAAAUUCUCCCUGGUGCUUGCUCUCAGGCCUUAGGUGUUAAUCGUGUUCCAUGAAAGAAACAGUGCACGCUGACCCUCGACACUGAGGAGCACGAUUCACUUCGACAGUUAGAACCCUAGCAACUUCUGCAACCUUGAGAGUUCAAGGACUGCAACAAAGACAAUCAGUGGAGAACCAUCGCGCCUGCAGUUUUCUCGGGAGAAUUGAACUGCAUGU